rnacentral:rRNA from 1 species
UACGUAGGCAGCAAGCGUUGUUCGGAGUUACUGGGCGUAAAGGGUGCGUAGGCGGCUUUUUAAGUUUGGUGUGAAAUCUCCCGGCUCAACUGGGAGGGUGCGCCGAAUACUGAGAGGCUAGAGUGUGGGAGAGGAAAGUGGAAUUCCUGGUGUAGCGGUGAAAUGCGUAGAUAUCAGGAGGAACACCGGUGGCGAAGGCGGGUCUCUGGGCCGAUACUGACGCUGAGGAGCGAAAGCGUGGGGAGCGAACAGG